ACCUGGGCAACCCCAGCCUGGAGGUGCCGGGGCCGGAGCUCCCAGAGGGCUGGGUGCGAGGCCUAGGCGGGGUCAGGUUCGGGUUCCUAGGCCAUAGCGGAGCUGCAGCCCAGGCGGCCGGAGCGGAACCCAGCCCCGCUCCGAGUGCCACGUCUCCAGGAACCCCCUCCUUACUCUUGGACAACACUCCGCCCCCGCCCGGGCCUCCGUCCCCCAAACCGCCCUCAUUUGUGCAGCGCCAGAUCCUUCGGACACAUCCCUAGGUGUCUCCAUCCUCAUUCGGUCCAUCCAACUCCCAGACCUCACGUCAACCGGCUGCACCCCACUUUCCAGCCUGCGCCCCAGAUCUGCAGCCUUCGCCCCUAGAUACACCCGCCUGGUGAUGAGGCGCUCCUCGCGUUCCUUCCGGGCUCCAGGUGUCCGUGAGCCUCCCUUCCGCCCUGGCCUCCGGUCUCUGCCUUGCUCGUGCUUCUACCACCACCCUUCCCCUCCCAACCCGGUGGAUCCUCUCGUCUCCCCCAGUCUCCAGUGCACCGGCUUUCCCUCGUCCUCUGCGCAGUCCAUCUCAGCUCAUCUCUCCAAUUCAAUGCCAUCAUCUCUCCUCACCAUCUCUCGGUGCCCUGGAAUGUUUGCUGUCAGAUGUCCCCUGUGAAACCCACAAACGCUUGCGAUUUGGCCUCCUUGUUUUAUUUUGUGUAGUCCUACAACGUCUUGUUACUACCCCCUAUUACAACACUUAUAACUCAGU
rnacentral:lncRNA from 10 species